UACGUAGGGGGCAAGCGUUGUCCGGAAUCACUGGGCUUAAAGGGCGCGUAGGCGGUCCGUCAAGUCAGGGGUGAAAUCCUGCAGCUUAACUGUAGAAGUGCCUCUGAUACUGACGGUCUUGAGGGAGAUAGGGGUGUGCGGAACUUCCAGUGGAGCGGUGAAAUGCGUUGAUAUUGGAAGGAACGCCGGAGGCGAAAGCGGCGCACUGGAUCUCUUCUGACGCUGAGGCGCGAAAGCUAGGGGAGCAAACGGGG
rnacentral:rRNA from 1 species